AGUCUGUAGCGCGCGCCUCGCCGUUUCCCUCAUAACGACGGAGAAUUCGGCAAAGGAGAGCUACGUCUCCCUGUCUUUCUUUCCUGUAUUACAAUUGCAUCUAUAAGAAAGGCCCGGGAAAAAGACAGGUUGACCUUGUGUGUGGAGGGAAAAAUGCAAGAAAAGAGAGCAGGAGAGAGCACAGGGUUGUUGGCUGCUGGCGGAUCGGUGCAGAGAGUCCGUACGGGAUCCUUCUCUGAGGAAGAAGCAGAGGAGAGCUGGGUAGCACAGCGAACUGGCCUGAUUUAGGGUUCAGACUGGAGCCAUAGGUAACCCGAGCCAAAGGGGUUUUCUUCGAUCGCCGGACAGUCACGAGGAGCAGAGUUAAUCCCAGCGAAUUUAAACUGCACCAUGAGCUGAAGCUAGUGGGACCUUGGCCAGCUUGGACCGAAACACUGCCCGGAGCUGUGGACCAACAAUCUCACGACUUGAAUUUUUGCACCUCCUUGGAUGUGUGAGUGCUCCUGUCUAGUAUGAGCUCCAAUGUGCACCAACUAGCCGGCAUAAAGUGUGUGAUUCUCUUGGCACAUACCCGAGUACUCUCCUUUUACAGUAUGUGUAUUCAAUUGAUUGUGUCUUUUUUAUGCAUAAGAGAAAACAUUGUAGUCAAUGUACAAAUUGGUCAAAUGUGUUUGUUUUUGUUUCCUGCUUAAAGUGUAAUGUAAUGAACUGGGGAGGCGUGAAAGGGAAUUAAGACAGCAUUUUAAAUUUU